rnacentral:rRNA from 1 species
AUUGAACGCUGGCGGCAGGCCUAACACAUGCAAGUCGAGCGGAUGAAGGGAGCUUGCUCCUGGAUUCAGCGGCGGACGGGUGAGUAAUGCCUAGGAAUCUGCCUGGUAUUGGGGGAUAACGUCCUGAAACGGGCGCUAAUACCGCAUACGUCCUGAUGGAGCAAGUUGGGGAUCUUCGGACCUCACGCUAUCAUAUGAGCCUAGGUCGGAUUAGCUAGUUGGUGGGGUAAAGGCCUACCAAGGCGACGAUCCGUAACUGGUCUGAGAGGAUGAUAAGUCACACUGGAACUGAGACACGGUCCAGACUCCUAAGGGAGGCAGCAGUGGGGAAUAUUGGACAAUGGGCGAAAGCCUGAUCCAGCCAUGCCGCGUGUGUGAAGAAGGUCUUCGGAUUGUAAAGCACUUUAAGUUGGGAGGAAGGGCAGUAAGUUAAUACCUUGCUGUUUUGACGUUACCAACAGAAUAAGCACCGGCUAACUUCGUG